rnacentral:lncRNA from 1 species
AUGGAAGCUUUGGCUGCAGCAGAUUCAAUUAAUACUACAACAACCCUUUCUCCUUCAACCACUUUUGAAUCAACCACACAGCUCACAAUAACAGAAACUUUGCAACCUACAAAAACUGAGACAAUCACAUCAACUGCAGCAACGUCUGUGUCUACAACACAAUUGACUUUCACAACACCUUCUACUUUAAGCACUACUACAUCUCAGUUGACUACAGAGGGAUUUACAACUGUGGUAUCAGCUACAAACAUUGAAGAUUUGUCUACAACAGAGUCAAUUUCUACUGCAACAUUAGUUUCUCCUUCAACCACUUCUGAAGCAACAACACAGCUCACAAUAACAGAAACUGUGCAACCUACAAAAACUGAGACAAUCAAAUUAACUGCAUCCACUUAUGAGUCUACGCCCCAAUUGAGUUUGACAACAACUUCUACUUUAAGCACUACUACAUCUCAGUUGACUACAGAGGGAUUUACAACUGUUGUAUCAGCUACAAACAUUGAAAAUUUGUCUACAACAGAAUCAGUUUCUAUUACAACAUUAGUUUCUCCUUCAACUACUUCUGAAGCAACAACACAGCUCAAAACAGCAGGAACCAUUGAACCUAAUGCAUCUGAGACAACCACAUCAUCUGCAACAACUUAUGUUGAUUUAAGCACUACUACAUCUCAGUUGAACACAGACGGAUUUACAAAUGUGGGACCAACAACUACAAUGGAAGUUUUGGCUGCAGCAGAUUCAAUUAAUACUACAACAAUCCUUUCCCCUAUAACCACUUCUGAAGCCACCACACAGCUCACAAUAUCAACAUCUUCUACUUUAGGCACUACUACCUCUCAGGAGACUACAGCUGAAUCUUCAACUGUGGAAUUAGCCACGACAAGUGAAGAUUUGCCAACAACAGAUUCAGUUUCUACUGCAAAACUAAAUUCUGCUUUAACAACUUUCCAAGCAACCACUCAACUCACAACAACAGGAAUUGUGAAACCUAGAACACCCGAGACAACCACAUCAACUGCAACAAAUUUUGUUUUUACACCAGAAUUGAGUUCCACAUCUUCUACCUUAGACAGUGUGACUCAUCAUUUUACUACAUAUGAGUCUACAAAAAUGGAAUCAACCACAACUGAAAAUUUAACAAAAACUACUACAAAACUACUAUUUUCAAUUUUAACCGCUUUCCAAACAAUAACACAUCUCACAAAAACUGUUGAUCCUACAAUUGAAAGUAUUACAAUUGCACAUCAGUUGAAUACUACUACAGCAGAGUCUGAAACAGUGGAACAAGCAACCCUAACAGCUGAAGCAUCAGUUACAACUGACUCUUCAACAACACCAGAAAAAAAAACUAAUUUCACAGCAUCAGAAACAGUGACACCUACAACUGGAAGUCAAGCAAUCCAAAUUCAUACUAGGACUAAAAUACCUAGAAGUACAACAACACCAACUACAGAUGGCACUCAUACAACAGAAUUAAAUACUCUUAAAGGUUCCUCUGUACACACUACAGCAACUUUGUUGAAUGUAAUCCCAGCAGAGUCUACAGCAAUUAAUCCAGAAACCGCAACUGAAACCACAAUAGAAUCAGGGACUACAACUUUCAUCCAUUCAUCCACAUUUCUAACCCCAACACAGCAAUCUGCAGUAAAAUCAGCAACAACUACAAGUAGAAGUCAAGCAACCCAGCUACCUUCUACUACAUCACAAUUGACAACUAAUAAAUUAUCGACAAUACUGGAACCAACCACUUUAGCUGAAAAUUCAACAGUGGAAUCAAUGACUACAUCAACUGAACUUUCAACUUUAUCCUUAACCACAUUGCAAGUGACAACCACAGAAUUUAUAACAUCUACAAGUGAAAGACAAACAAACCAACACCCAUCUGCACAUUCAACCAAAUUGUCUACAACAGAAAGGAGUACCACUGUAGCUUCUUCCAGGGAAACUACAACUUUGUUCACUACAUCUACAGCAGUGGUGCACUGCCAGUUGAUCUUCAACGCUUCCACACCCUUCCUUAGUGAAACCACAGCAGUUAAUGCUACACGGUCGCUUCUAUUUUCUUUGUCUGCAAACUUCAGUCAAAAAAUUCAGGUUGAGAAUGUGACAUAUGAACAAGUAUCAGACACUUCAUAUGCAGUCAUUAUCAGUUUAAGGCUAAACAAUGUCAGCAUGCCAGAGAAAAGUGAAUCUGCAAACGACACAUAUAGCCAAAUUCAGAAUACUAUUAACAACAUGCUGAACACAGUCUUCAGAGAACAGAGACAAUAUCUUUUGAUUUUUCAAAGCGCAAACUUCAUGAUAAAUUCAGACCAUAUUGAAGCACACAUGGAGUACAUUGUCAAGGAAAAGGAAACUGGUAUGAUCAAUAACACUGUAGUGCCCCUGACUACAAUGUCAAUCAUCCCUCAAGUCAACAUAAUGGGGUCAGCUCUUAUCUACAGUCGUCUGGUCUUCAUCUCUUCCACAUCCAUCCCAAGUGAAACCACAGCGGUUAAUAUUACAUGCAUGCUUCUGAAUUUGUCAGUUUCAAAUGACAGUCAAACACUUCAGGUGGAGGAUGUGAUGUAUGAACAACUUUCAAAGAAGUCAUAUGCAAUCAUCAUCAUCUUAAGGCUAAGGAAUGUGAGGAUUCCAGAGAAAAGUGAAUCUACAAAUGACACAUAUACCCACAUACAGAACACCAUAAAUUAUAAGUUAAAUGCAGUCUUCAAUGAACCUGGACAGCCUCUUUUGGUUUUCCAAAGUGCGAACUUCAAAUCAAAUUCAAACGAGAUUGAUGGAAACAUGGAGUACAUAUUCCAGGAAAAUGACUGGCCAGCCCAUUAUGCAAAACUAAUUAAGAAUACAAAUGACACAACUUUUGCACCUACAACCACAAUAGCAUCUACAACCUCAGCAAGAUCAACUACACCAGAAGCUGCUAGUACAACCAUUACAAUUCCUUGGUCAAGCGCAUCAGUGCCAGAAACCACUACUGUCCCUCAGACAGUAAUUGGUACAGUUUUGAUCUACAUCCAGCUGGUGUUUCAAACUUUGGGUCCCAUUCCCAGUGAGAGUGCAGUCCUGAAUGCUGCUAACACCUUAUUGGACUCUACAGUCAGAACCACCCUGUAUACUCCAGUAAAAAUCACAAAUGCUACUUAUGAAAGAAUAAACAGCACUGCAUUUGCGAUCAAAUUUGGAUAUUGCAUCAGCAAUGUGGUAAUGUCAUCACAUUUUGCACUCAGAAAUGACACGUACAUCUUAAUCGAGAAUUCUGUCAAUAGACUGCUCAACAUAAUUUUGAACAACAAAAAUGCAGCUCCAUUUACCUUUGGACAAUUAACAUUUUUGGAUAAGACAAAUGAAAUUCAGGCUGAUGUAAAAUAUGUUUUUAAUGAGAAAGACUUCAAAUCACCAAGUCUGUUCCUGGAGGAGAUUAUCGCACUUAGCGGACUACAGCCAACCACAGCAACUAUUACAGAGAUGACAAGCAAUAAUACUACAACAGCAGCAUUAGGAGGCUUCCCUGGAUGGGCUUUAGCCAUCAUAAUACCCUGUGGUAUUGCAAUAAUCCUUGUUCCACUCUGGAUUCUCCUUUGUUGUAUGCUGUGUGGGUGUUGUGCAGCGAUCAGGAGACGUUGGAGAAGACGGCAAUCUUACAAUGUUCAGUACACUACACGCAAUGGGCUAUUCUAAGUGUAUUUAACAAUAUAAUGGAUGUAUUAUUUGAAUGUAUGGAAUAACUGUCCACUGUGUAUGAUCUUUCUAUGAUCUGUACAGACAUUUUAUAGCUUAAUCAAUCAUUUUAUUGCUUAAUCAAUCUGCUUAUAUUUAUACAUAUUUACUAAUUGUGCUUACUGUAUUUGUUAAUGUACACAGCAGUUUCAGAGAACUUUGUAUGUCAUAUUCUGCAAUUAAAUUAUCUGCAUUAUAAUUUCUUUACACCAAUACAUUGCUCAUUUUCUUCACAUCACUGCAGUGGUUAGCCCAGCAGGUAAUGAAACAGACUGGUUUACCCACCAUCUAUAACAGAUUUCACCUUUAAUGCCCCAAAGCUGAAAUGUUAUUUCAGAAAGAAGCAUUAUUUAUGUCUGUUACAAUAUUACAGUUAUAAAAUGUGUAUCAUAUAGUCUUUUCUAUUAUAAAAAACAUAUAAACAGUAUAUAUAAAGUUAUGCACUUAAAAUGCUGCCUAAAAACACAUAUGCAUGUUUAAAAUGAAUACGUUUCAUUUAUUUACCUCUGUUUCUGUCAGGAAUUAGGACAGCUUUUAAAAGGCACUGUGCAGCAGCCGGUUGGGGUUGCGACAUUCUUUGACCUGGCAACUGUUUGGUAGUGUUGUUUUGAGUUUUGGCAAUCGCCACACGCCUGUGGACUAGUUUAAGUUCUCCCCUUGUUUCCCCUGUUUUCGGCCCUCGCGCCAUUUUGGUUUCUGUAUUUAAUAAAUCAUUGUUUUCAUUAUGUCCCGCCUCUGCG